UUGGGAGGCUGAGGUGGGUGGAUCACCUGAGCCCAGGGGGUUGAGGUUACAAUGAGUAGUGAUUGCCCCAUUGCCCUCCAGCCUGGGCAACAGAGUGAGAUCCUGUCUC